GAUGAAGAACGCAGCGAAAUGCGUUAAGUAAUGUGAAUUGCAGAAUUCAGUGAAUCAUCGAAUCUUUGAACGCACAUUGCGCCCGCCAGUAUUCUGGCGGGCAUGCCUGUUCGAGCGUCAUUUCAACCAUCAAGCCCCCGGCUUGUGUUGGGGACCUGCGGCUGCCGCAGGCCCUGAAAACCAGUGGCGGGCUCGCUAGUCACUCCGAGCGUAGUAGUUACAUCUCGCUCAGGGCGUGCUGCGGGUUCCGGCCGUUAAAAGCCUUAUUUACCCAAGGUUGACCUCGGAUCAGGUAGGAAGACCCGCUGAACUUAAGCAUAUCAAUAAGCGGAGGA
rnacentral:misc_RNA from 1 species